rnacentral:rRNA from 1 species
GACGUAGGGCGCGAGCGUUGUCCGGAUUUAUUGGGCGUAAAGAGCUCGUAGGCGGUUUGUCGCGUCGUCUGUGAAAACCCACGGCUCAACUGUGGGCUUGCAGUCGAUACGGGCAGGCUAGAGUUCGGUAGGGGAGACUGGAAUUCCUGGUGUAGUGGUGAAAUGCGUAGAUAUCGGGAGGAACACCAGUGGCGAAGGCGGCUUCCUGGCCUGUUCUUGACGCUGAGGCGCGAAAGCUAGGGGAGCAAACGGG